GACGAACGCUGGCGGCGCGCCUAACACAUGCAAGUCGAACGGAGCUAUUUCGACAGAUCCCUUCGGGUGACAUUGGCCUAGCUUAGUGGCGAACGGGUGAGUAACACGUGAGGAACCUGCCCUUCAGAGGGGGACAACAGUUGGAAACGACUGCUAAUACCGCAUAAUGUCAUUUGGGGGCAUCCCUGGAUGACCAAAGAUUUAUUGCUGAAAGAUGGUCUCGCGUCUGAUUAGCUGGUUGGCGGGGUAACGGCCCACCAAGGCGACGAUCAGUAGCCGGUCUGAGAGGAUGAACGGCCACAUUGGGGCUGAGAUACGGCCCAG
rnacentral:rRNA from 1 species